CAGACAUGUGCUCUUCCGUCCUGGACCACGCGUCCGUCCAGGUCAACGUGGCCCAGGUGGACAAGGUGACAGGCAAGCUCAACGGCCAGUUUAAAACCUACGCUAUCUGUGGGGCCAUUCACGGGAUGGGGGAGUCAGAUGACUCCCUCCUCUGACUGGCCAAAGCCAAUGGCAUCGUUUCAAAGAACUUCUGACUCUAAAGGAUCACGGAUGUGGAAUAUUUUUCAUUAAUAAAUAGCA